AGACAACAGGACUAAUAAAGUCCCAAAUUAAGUCCUGCCAUACAUGAAAAUACUACGCUAUACUAUGCUAUACUAUACUAUAAACGGUUAUAAAAUUAACAAAAUACAUAGCUAGUUACAUAUUUACGGUAUUACAUAAUUACAUUCGUACAAAAACUCAGAACAUGCACUUCUACGAACAACAGGACGUAAAACAAGAACGACAUUUAGAGCAAAACGUUUUCCAAGUCCUAGGCCUAUUAACAUCAAAACAUGCAUUAACUUUUUGAGUGUAGUGAUUAGUUUAGAUGAAUUUCAUAGGAAUAUUUUACAAGGGGGCGAAGUCCUGGGCUACCAGUUUGAACCUAGACGAAAUACC